rnacentral:rRNA from 1 species
CUCCUACGGGAGGCAGCAGUGGGGAAUAUUGGACAAUGGGGGCAACCCUGAUCCAGCCAUGCCGCGUGUGUGAAGAAGGUCUUAGGAUUGUAAAGCACUUUAAGUUGGGAGGAAGGGCUUGCGGUUAAUACCUGCAAGUUUUGACGUUACCGACAGAAUAAGCACCGGCUAACUCUGUGCCAGCAGCCGCGGUAAUA